rnacentral:rRNA from 1 species
UACGUAGGGUGCGAGCGUUGCCCGGAAUUAUUGGGCGUAAAGAGCUCGUAGGCGGUUUGUUGCGUCGGCCGUGAAAAACCUGCAGCUUAACUGUGGGCCUGCGGCCGAUACGGGCAGACUUGAGUUCGGUAGGGGAGACUGGAAUUCCUGGUGUAGCGGUGAAAUGCGCAGAUAUCAGGAGGAACACCGGUGGCGAAGGCGGGUCUCUGGGCCGUAACUGACGCUGAGGAGCGAAAGCGUGGGGAGCAAACAGG